rnacentral:sRNA from 1 species
GACGUUGUUGGGGUCCGCAGGGAUGCCUCCAUCACGCCUCUCAAUGUACCGCGCCACGUCUUCCCGGAUUAGCUGGAUGCCGGAGCUGACGCUGUAGGCCCCUGGACUCGGGCAGCACAGGAUGGGAGGUACAGAUGCGCCUGGAGCGAACGGGAAGGAAGGGAGAAGGCUCGUGGACCCUGGUGAGGCCACCACCCUCCCUGCUCAGAGCUCCCCCUGCUCUACGUCCCUCUGUGUUAAAGGUAAAGGCCCUACCUGUGCUCAGGUACCCUCUCCUCCCAAGCCACCUGGCCUUCUCACUCCCCUUCCUUCCUUACCAGUUCUGCCCUCCUCACUGACCAAGACA